rnacentral:rRNA from 1 species
UACGAAGGGGGCUAGCGUUGCUCGGAAUCACUGGGCGUAAAGCGCACGUAGGCGGAUCGUUAAGUCAGGGGUGAAAUCCUGGAGCUCAACUCCAGAACUGCCUUUGAUACUGGCGAUCUUGAGUUCGGGAGAGGUGAGUGGAACUGCGAGUGUAGAGGUGAAAUUCGUAGAUAUUCGCAAGAACACCAGUGGCGAAGGCGGCUCACUGGCCCGAUACUGACGCUGAGGUGCGAAAGCGUGGGGAGCAACAGG